UGCUUAACACAUGCAAGUCGAACGAUGAAGCCCAGCUUGCUGGGUGGAUUAGUGGCGAACGGGUGAGUAACACGUGAGUAACCUGCCCAUGACUCUGGGAUAAGCGCUGGAAACGGCGUCUAAUACCGGAUACGACCUACCCCGGCAUCGGGUGUGGGUGGAAAGUUUUUCGGUCAAGGAUGGACUCGCGGCCUAUCAGCUUGUUGGUGAGGUAAUGGCUCACCAAGGCGACGACGGGUAGCCGGCCUGAGAGGGUGACCGGCCACACUGGGACUGAGACACGGCCCAGACUCCUACGGGAGGCAGCAGUGGGGAAUAUUGCACAAUGGGCGAAAGCCUGAUGCAGCAACGCCGCGUGAGGGAUGACGGCCUUCGGGUUGUAAACCUCUUUUAGUAGGGAAGAAGGGCUUCGGCUUGACGGUACCUGCAGAAAAAGCACCGGCUAACUACGUGCCAGCAGCCGCGGUAAUACGUAGGGUGCAAGCGUUGUCCGGAAUUAUUGGGCGUAAAGAGCUCGUAGGCGGUUUGUCGCGUCUGCUGUGAAAACCCGAGGCUCAACCUCGGGCCUGCAGUGGGUACGGGCAGACUAGAGUGCGGUAGGGGAGAAUGGAAUUCCUGGUGUAGCGGUGGAAUGCGCAGAUAUCAGGAGGAACACCGAUGGCGAAGGCAGUUCUCUGGGCCGUAACUGACGCUGAGGAGCGAAAGCGUGGGGAGCGAACAGGAUUAGAUACCCUGGUAGUCCACGCCGUAAACGUUGGGCGCUAGAUGUGGGGACCUUUCCACGGUUUCCGUGUCGCAGCUAACGCAUUAAGCGCCCCGCCUGGGGAGUACGGCCGCAAGGCUAAAACUCAAAGGAAUUGACGGGGGCCCGCACAAGCGGCGGAGCAUGCGGAUUAAUUCGAUGCAACGCGAAGAACCUUACCAAGGCUUGACAUAUACGAGAACGGGCCAGAAAUGGUCAACUCUUUGGACACUCGUAAACAGGUGGUGCAUGGUUGUCGUCAGCUCGUGUCGUGAGAUGUUGGGUUAAGUCCCGCAACGAGCGCAACCCUCGUUCUAUGUUGCCAGCACGUUAUGGUGGGAACUCAUAGGAGACUGCCGGGGUCAACUCGGAGGAAGGUGGGGAUGACGUCAAAUCAUCAUGCCCCUUAUGUCUUGGGCUUCACGCAUGCUACAAUGGCCGGUACAAAGGGCUGCGAUACCGUAAGGUGGAGCGAAUCCCAAAAAGCCGGUCUCAGUUCGGAUUGAGGUCUGCAACUCGACCUCAUGAAGUCGGAGUCGCUAGUAAUCGCAGAUCAGCAACGCUGCGGUGAAUACGUUCCCGGGCCUUGUACACACCGCCCGUCAAGUCAUGAAAGUCGGUAACACCCGAAGCCGGUGGCCUAACCUUUUGGAGGGAGCCGUCGAAGGUGGGAUCGGUGAUUAGGACUAAGUCAU
rnacentral:rRNA from 1 species